rnacentral:rRNA from 1 species
AGGAAUCUUCCGCAAAGGGCGAAAGCCUGACGGAGCAAUGCCGCGUGGAGGAGGAAGGCCUGUGGGUCGUAAACUCCUUUUCUCAGAGAAGAAGUUCUGACGGUACCUAUCGAAUCAGCAUCGGCUAACUCCGUGCCAGCAGCCGUGGUAAUACGGAGGAUGCAAGCGUUAUCCGGACUUAUUGGGCGUAAAGCGGCCGUAGGAGGUUGUUCAAGUCUGCUGUUAAACCGAGCGUCUUAACCGCAUA